UAUGGUCAGAUAAAAACCCUAGGUCCCUUAUCUCUAUGCGAUUGAUCCUGAAUCGAUCGUGACCGGAGGAGCCAAUGGAACGCGUCAUUGGCGGAAAAUACAAGCUCGGACGGAAGAUCGGCGGCGGAUCCUUCGGGGAAAUCUUUCUUGCUACCCACAUCGAUACUUUCGAGAUCGUCGCUGUUAAGAUCGAGAACAGUAAAACAAAGCAUCCUCAACUUCUCUACGAAGCCAAGUUAUACAAAAUUCUUGAAGGAGGAAGUGGAAUUCCGCGGAUAAAAUGGUUUGGAGUGGAUGGGUCAGAAAAUGCAUUGGUGAUUGAUUUGCUAGGGCCAAGUCUCGAAGAUCUAUUCGUGUAUUGUGGGAGGAAGUUCUCACUGAAGACAGUCUUGAUGUUAGCUGAUCAAAUGCUAACUAGGAUAGAGUACGUGCACUCCAAAGGAUACCUACACAGAGACAUAAAACCUGAUAACUUUCUCAUGGGCCUUGGACGUAAAGCAAAUCAGGUUUACUUGAUCGACUUUGGGCUUGCCAAAAGAUAUCGAGAUGCCAGCACCAACCGCCAUAUCCCUUACAGGGAAAACAAGAAUUUAACUGGAACUGCACGGUAUGCAAGUUGCAAUACUCAUCUUGGAAUUGAGCAAAGUCGAAGAGAUGAUCUAGAAUCACUUGGAUAUGUGCUUCUAUAUUUUUUAAGAGGAAGUCUUCCGUGGCAGGGUCUUAAAGCUGUUGACAAAAAACAGAAGUAUGACAAAAUUUGUGAGAAGAAGAUAUCAACUCCUAUCGAGGUUCUGUGCAAAAAUCACCCUGUGGAGUUUGCUUCGUAUUUCCAUUACUGCCACACGUUGACAUUUGAUCAGCGUCCUGACUAUGGUUUCUUGAAGCGUCUUUUCCGUGAUUUGUUUUCACGUGAAGGAUGUGAGUUUGACUAUGUGUUUGAUUGGACCAUAAUAAAGUAUCAGCAGGCACAGAAAACUAGAAAUCAAUCUCGGCAGGCAGUUCCUGGGUCUAGUAAUGCUCGUGCAAUGCCAAUGGAAAGCAACAAUCAUCAAGGAGGAACCAAUGCUUCUUAUGGACCUGAGGUGUCUGAACGCAUCAGAUCAGCCACUGCUAUUGGUCCGGGCCCUCAGUUGAAUUUUAAUCCUGCUACAGGCAGGACUCUGGGUUAUGACCAGCCCACGGACAAGAAUAUGUCAGGGCGGGUGAACAUGCCAUCCACUUCGUUUUCACCAGCUGGCACCUCUAAAAGAAAUGUAGCAGUGCCUGGUUUUCCUGCCGGUGCUGAAUCUUCAAAUCCCGGGUAUGGGAGUGGAAAUAGAACCGGUAUAUCUGGAGGCUGGACCUCUUCAUUUCACAACAUCUCUUCGGGCAAGCGAUGAUGCAAAGAAGUUGCGGAGAAUCGAUAAUGACAGUCUUGGUUGGGUAGAACAAACAAACAUGUGCCAAACACCUGUGUAUAUUGUCGAGGAGUGUCUGCUGAGGCAGUAAAGGGGAGAUGCGGAGGAACGUGCUGUGAUAGGGAUAGCAGAUGUGUGUAAUUUCUCAGAAGAAGAAGGCACACGUGUUUCUCUCAAGGCAAAAUUUCGAACGCAUUGGUUUGUGACAAACAAGGCAAUGAAGUAAACCUGAGACCCCGGCUUCGAGCAGAGGCUAGAGAGAGGUGUCUACAAGCCGGUCGUCUGGAAAGCUCGGGUAAGAGCAUGUAGAUUUGCGGGUGCAGAGGUUUGUUAAAAGGAAUUCAGAGGUGAUGGGUGCAAAUGAAUGGAUAAGAGGAUGAUGGGUUAUAACUUACAUAUGCUUUUGAUGAUGCCUGGUUUUGGAACAGUUUUCUCAGUCAUGGAUGGACAUGAGAGACAAGAGAUAGUAGAGUUCUUUUGCUUCAGACUGUUGGGGGGUUUUUUUUUUUUUUGUUAUUGAGUUUGUUUAUGGA